rnacentral:rRNA from 1 species
AGAGUUUGAUCCUGGCUCAGAAUGAACGCUGGUGGCGUGCCUAACACAUGCAAGUCGAACGAGAAACCUCGAGCUCGCUCGAGGAAGUAAAGUGGCGAACGGGUGAGUAACGCGUGGGUAACCUGCCCUUGAAACUGGGAUAACCUGCCGAAAGGCAGACUAAUACCGGAUAAAGUCUUUAUGGCUAUGGCUUUAAGGAUGAAAGAUGACCUCUUCAUGAAAGUUGUCGUUCAGGGAGGGGCCCGCGUACCAUUAGCUUGUUGGUGGGGUAAUGGCCUACCAAGGCUACGAUGGUUAGCUGGUCUGAGAGGAUGAUCAGCCACACUGGAACUGAAACACGGUCCAGACUCCUACGGGAGGCAGCAGUGAGGAAUUUUGCGCAAUGGGGGAAACCCUGACGCAGUAACGCCGCGUGAGUGAAGAAGGCCUUCGGGUCGUAAAGCUCUGUCAAGUGGGAAAAAAUUCUUAUGGUCAAUAGCCAUAAGAACUGAUGGUACCAUUGAAGGAAGCACCGGCUAACUCCGUGCCAGCAGCCGCGGUAAUACGGAGGGUGCAAGCGUUGUUCGGAAUUACUGGGCGUAAAGGGCGUGCAGGUGGUUUGGUAAGUCAGAUGUGAAAGCCCUGGGCUUAACCCGGGAAGUGCGUUUGAAACUGCCAGGCUAGAGUAUGGGAGAGGAGAGUGGAAUUCCCAAUGUAGAGGUGAAAUUCGUAGAUAUUGGGAGGAACACCCGUGGCGAAGGCGGCUCUCUGGACCAAUACUGACGCUGAGACGCGAAAGCGUGGGUAGCAAACAGGAUUAGAUACCCUGGCAGUCCACGCUGUAAACGAUGAGAACUAGGUGUAGCGGGUAUUGACCCCUGCUGUGCCGUAGUUAACGCAUUAAGUUCUCCGCCUGGGGAGUACGGUCGCAAGGCUAAAACUCAAAGGAAUUGGCGGGGG